UGCGGGGGGGGCAAGCGUUGUUCGGAAUUACUGGGCGUAAAGGGCUCGUAGGCGGCCAACUAAGUCGGAUGUGAAAUCCCCAGGCUCAACCUGGGAACUGCAUCCGAUACUGGAUGGCUUGAAUUCGGGAGAGGGAUGCAGAAUUCCAGGUGUAGCGGUGAAAUGCGUAGAUAUCUGGAGGAAUACCGGUGGCGAAGGCGGCAUCCUGGACCGACAUUGACGCUGAGGAGCGAAAGCCAGGGGAGCAAACGGG
rnacentral:rRNA from 1 species